GCUGCCGGAGGCCGCCGUAACCGCCACGCCCGGGCCCGUGGGCGCGCGCGGCCGCCCACCCCUGGUCGCCGAGCCGCCCCCGCUGCCGCUGCCGCCGCUGCCUGCACGGCCCUCGUCCUUCAGCCUGCUGGCGCUGCCCGCGCCCCGCGACCCCUGGCCGCUGCCCGUCUUCCCCCCGCCCCUGCCGCCGCCGCCACCGCCGCCUUACUUCUUCCUGUCGCCACCCUGCUGACCGCCCGGCCCUCCCAGAGGCCGCCGACGCGGAGGGGCUGCGGGCCGAUCCUGCCUUCCAAGUCUUAAGAAGUUAAACUUUCAACUGAAAUAGAUCCAGGGGUCCUGAGGGCCUGGGUGCACCAGGAAAACAGUGGUGUUGAUGGACAAUCGAUACUGGGCCCUGGAGCAGGAGUGUCACAUGCAAGGGCUGUCAAGUCAUCCCCAGGGGACAGGAAAGCUCCCACGGUGGCUUGGGCACAGGUAACCAGCAGACGUCCUGUCUCGAUGGGCCCUUCUACAGCAGCUCAGGAAUGGUAUCAGGAAGCCAGCUUGACCUUGGGCGACCUCUGAGAGCCUGGGACCCCCCAGCAAGAAAGGCAGCGUAUGAGUUUCCUGUGACUGCUGCAGUAAAUCACCGCAAACUGGGGGCUUAAAACAACAAAAAUGCCUUCUCUCGCCGUUCUGGAAGGCAGAAGUCCAAAGUCAAGGUGUGGCAGGGCCAAACUCCCUCCAGAAGCUCUAGUGGAGGAUCCUUCUUGCCUCUCCCAGCUUCUGGUGGCUCCUGGUGAUCCUUGGCUUGUCGCCGCCUAACUCCAGUCUCUGCCUCUGUCUUCAUGUGACCUCCUCCCGUGUCUAUGUCUCAAAUCUCUCUGUUUUUCUCUUAUGACACCUGUCAUUGGGCGUAGGGCCCACCCUCAAUCCGGAAUGAUCUCAUCUUGAGAUCCUCAACUUAAUUACAUCUGCAAAGACCCUCUCUUCAAAUAAGGCCCCUCGCAUAUUUCCCAGGGCUUAGGAGCCACCAUCCGGUCCAUACAGGCAAGUGUCCUCUCCCCUGUGGGGCUGGGCCCCCUCUCCAGCUGGCUGCCCAGCUUCCCUUACUGUGUUUUAGGACCUGUCCCUCACUGACCCUGAACCGUAGGUGCCCUUGGAGUCCUCAGGCAGGAGCUGAAAGCACUAGUAUCUUGAGAAAGCUCUCACAGGCACCGGAAGAAAGUUGAAUGACUGGCUUUCCCAAACUUUGCUGAAUUAUGGCCGAGUUCCCAUUCCUGCUGGCUUGGUGCUUCCUCCACUAUCUUUAGGUCGUGUGGCCCUCCUCCCCUGUCAGGUAAGCAUCAGACAGUGCACAGAAAGGGCCAGACUGUGUCGUCUUAAAGAAGACAGCCUGGAGGAGCGGGCUGUAGCCCUGCCCUCCGAGCUCCAGGUGAUGACUGCUGCUGGUUGAAAGCUGACAGUUUCGACUGAGAAUAAAGUUAACUGCUACCCCA